UGGGCUGGAUGUAUAGUCGCGGUGCUUUUUUGCACUGAGGAAAGUCCGAACUCCAUAGGGCAGGAUACCGGAUAACUUCCGGAUGGUGAAAGCCAUGGAAAGUGCCACAGAAACUAUACCGUUCAGCACUAACAUGCAGAGCAUGUAAGUGCUGGAUAAGGGUGCAACGGUGAGGUAAGAGCUUACCGCGGCAAUGGUAACAUUGCCGGCAAAGGUAAACCCUAUCCGGAGAAAGUCUAAAUAGGGGAUAAGAAAUGACCCGUUUCAUUUGAAUCCCGGGUAAGGCGUAUGAGGUAGAUGGUAACAUCUAUCCCAGAUAAAUGACUAUAAUAACAGAAUUCGGCUUACAAUCCAGCCUUCCUA
rnacentral:RNase_P_RNA from 1 species